AUAAUCUUUCUUUCUUGUUUUGUGGAUGUUAUUUUAUAAGUUUGAUCGCGGACAGCGAGUCUAACGGUCAUUUGUCUCUCAUCAUCAUAUGGGAACAUACGGGGAAUUGUUUAUUUCUGAGGACUUAACAGAGAGAUCGACCGUCGAGGAAAACGUUAGAGCAGAAAUAUUGAAUAGCGAGAGUACAGUCUUUUUAUGAAAUGUGAAAGCCAAGUUUUACCAAAAUGUCGGAAAUAACUUGUCAUACAAAUAAUAAAGAUGAGAUCCCGAGUCAGAAAGAUGACAAAAGAUCAACACAGCAAUCAACGUCACAUCAGCAGACGACAUUUGAAAAAGAGGCGGGAAGUCAAAACUUUUGCAGACGACAACUUAGUCGUCAUCUACAUGUUAAACGAAAGGAAGGGAAGAAUGAUAAACAAGUUCAAACUUUAAUAAGUGGAGAUUUCUUUGUAAACACUGCUAAUGUUUAUUCUGGACAUCUCGUGGAAUAAACAGAGUCAAAAUAUAAAACAAUGCGGAGUUAUUACGCACUUGUACACAUCCUCUUACAAUGCACAUAUAACAUAGCCUGAUCUAUAAUUGUAGUCAUCUUUAAGUUAUAUUGUGGAAUUCUUACAUUUUAAUUGCCAUGUUGUCAUCGAUUUAGUUUACUUUUAUGAAUUGAGAUUUCCAACGCUAGUACUUGAUGCUAUUCGGUUUUAAUUUUCACUUGAUCAUUUAUACAGAACAAAAUACACAGUGUGUUACUUAG